rnacentral:siRNA from 1 species
GGGGUCCUUAUCAGCUCGCCACC